GAGGAAAGUCCGGGCUCCAUUUAUAAAGAAAAUGUUAUAUAAAAUAUAAUGUAGGAAACUAUGAGGAUAGUGCCACAGAAAUAUACCGCUUUAAUUUAAAGUAAGGGUGCAAUGGUUCGGUAAAAGCGUACCAGAAAUGUUGUUAAGAUAUUUGCUAGGUAAACCCCAUUUUUGAGCAAAGUAAUCAUGAAAUAUAUAUAUUUUUUUUAUAAGUUUGAUUUAUUUUCUUUAUUUGUCUUGGUUAUAUGUUAUACUGCUUUAAAGUUAAUUUUUAACUUAAGAUUAAUAAUUAUCCUUUUAUAUUGAUAAUUUGUUUAUGUUUUAUAUUAUUGUAUGAAGAACAAAACCCGGCUUAU
rnacentral:RNase_P_RNA from 1 species